ACUGUGGCACAAUGAGUCAGUGCACCUGGCUGUUAACCGGAAGGUUGGUGGUUCAAGGCCACUCAGGUAUG